GACGAACGCUGGCGGCGUGCUUAACACAUGCAAGUCGAACGGACAGGCCAUGCUUUUGUGGGGUGCUCGAUAGGCGCACGGGUGAGUAACACGUGAGUAAACUGCACUUGAAUUUGGGAUAACUUCUGGAAAAUGGGGCUAAUACAGGAUAGGAGCUCCUGCAGCACGGUGGGGGUUGGUAAGUUUCGGCGGUUGUGGAUGGUAUGGCGGGUUAUCAGCUUGUUGGUGGGGUUGUGGCUUACCAAGGCUUUGAAGGGUAGCCGGCCUGGGAGGUGGACCGGGCACAAGGCGACUGAGAGACGGCCCAGACGGCAACGUGAGGCAGCAGUGGGGAAUAUGGCACAAUGGGCGGAAGCCUGAUGCAGCAACGCCGCGUGCGUGAUGACGGCCUUCGGGGUGUAAACCGCUUUCGCCGGUGACGUAGCGUGAGUGACGGUAAUGGGUAAAGAAGCACCGGCUAACUACGUG
rnacentral:rRNA from 1 species